AUUGAACGCUGGCGGCAGGCCUAACACAUGCAAGUCGAACGAACGGCGGACGGGUGAGUAAUUUCUUGGAAACUGCCUGAUGGAGGGGGAUAACUACUGGAACCGGUAGCUAAUACCGCAUACCAUCCGAUUUGCCCAGAUGGGAUUAGCUAGUAGGUGGGGUAAUGGCUCACCUAGGCGCCGAUCCCUAGCUGGUCUGAGAGGCUGACCAGCCACACUGGAACUGAGACACGGGCCAGACUCCUACGGGAGGCAGCAGUGGGGAAUAUUGCACAAUGGGCGAAAGUCUGAUCGAGCCAUGCCGCGUGUGUGAAGAAGGCCUUCGGGUUGUAAAGCACUUUCAGCGAGGAGGCGUUACUCGCAGAAGAAGCACCGGCUAACUCCGUGCCAGCAGCCGCGGUAAUUC
rnacentral:rRNA from 1 species